rnacentral:rRNA from 1 species
UACGAUUAACCCAAAUUAAUAUUCAUCGGCGUAAAGCGUGUUUAAGACAACCCAACAAAUAAAGUUAAACCAAGACUAAGCCGUAAAAAGCUACAGUCGCAAUAAAAUACACGACUAAAGUGACUUUAACAACUCCGAAUACACGAUAGCUAAGACCCAAACUGGGAUUAGAUACCCCACUAUGCCUAGCCCUAAACCCAAACAUUUAAUCAACUAAAAUGUUCGCCAGAGCACUACUAGCAACAGCCUAAAACUUAAAGGACUUGGCGGUGCUUCACACCCCCCUAGAGGAACCUGUCCUAUAAUCGACAUACCCCGAUAAACCUCACCACCCCUAGCCAACACAGCCUAUAUACCGCCAUCCCCAGCAAACCUUAGAAAGAACCACAGUAAGCACAACUAUUAACCACAAGCACGUUAGGUCAAGGUGUAGCCAAUGAGGUGGAAAGAGAUGGGUUACAUUUUCUUACAAAAGAAAUCAACGAAAGUUUCUAUGAAACCCUAGAAACCAAAGGAGGAUUUAGAAGUAAAUCAAGAAUAGAGAGCUUUAUUGAACCAGGUCACGAAGCACGC